AAGACGAGCAGUUGUUGCUUAAAAAGUAUAUAUUUUUAUUUUUAUUUUUUUAGAAAAUGACAUCAUUUCGCUAGAUAAGAACCUUUUUCCUCAGCUGGGAUCUGUAGAGCCCUUUGAAACUGCAAUUUGGACCU